rnacentral:rRNA from 1 species
UGCACAGCAGAUUCACCUUCUCCCGAUCAUUAGCAUGGGAUAAUGGAAUAGGACCCUGUCCUCCUAUUUUCAGUUGGGUUUUCGAGGACCAGGGUAAUGAUUAAUAGGGGAUAGUUGGGGGCAUUAAUAUUUAAUUGUCAGAGGUGAAUUCUUGGGAUUUAUGAAAGAUUAACUUCUGCGAAAGCAUCUGCCAAGGGAUGUUUUCUUUAAUCAAGAACGAAAGUUAGGGGAUCCGAAAACGAUCAGAUCCCCGGUAAUCUUAACCUUAACGAUGCCGACCACGAUUUAGAGACAUUGAAUACAAACACCCCAUCUGUGUCGUCCUCUGGGUGGGAGGUCCCCCUCCCGGGGGCGAACCACCCAGGGCCCGGGAAGCCCCAC